AUGGAGCUUCAGCAGUUCGGCUUUCCUGCUGAGUUGCUCUGCAGGAUGUGUUGCCUCUCCCAGCCUGUGCUGACUCAGCCGGCAUCCCCCUCUGCAUAUCCAGGAGCAACAGCCAGACUCACCUGCACCCUGAGCAGUGGGUACAGUGUUGGUGGCUACCAAAUGUCCUGUUUCCAGCAGAAGCCAGGGGGCCCUCCCCAGUCCCUCCUGAUGUUCAAGUCAGACUCAGAUAAGCCCCAGGGCUCCGGGAUCCCCAGUCACUUCUCUGGAUCCAAGGCUGCCUUGGCCAACAGAGGGCUCCUGCUCAUCUCUGGGCUGCAGACUCAGGAUGAGGCUGAUUAUAACUGCUACUGUCCCCAAAACACUGGGUAUGAAGAGGGGAAGGAGCAGUGUGGGGACGCUCUGCUCAGCUGUGGGGCCACAGACGGCAGGACGCCCUGA